CCUACGGGGGGCAGCAGUGGGGAAUAUUGCACAAUGGGGGAAACCCUGAUGCAGCGACGCCGCGUGAGUGAAGAAGUAAUUCGUUACGUAAAGCUCUAUCAGCAGGGAAGAAAUACUGACCUUACGGUCAGCAGACGGUACCUGAGUAAGAAGCCCCGGCUAACUACGUGCCAGCGGCCGCGGUACUACGUAGGGGGCAAGCGUUAUCCGGAUUUACUGGGGGUAAAGGGAGCGUAGGCGGUUUAGCAAGUCAGAAGUGAAAGCCCGGGGCUCAACUCCGGGACUGCUUUUGAAACUGUUGAACUGGAGUGCAGGAGAGGUAAGUGGAAUUCCUAGUGUAGCGGUGAAAUGCGUAGAUAUUAGGAGGAACACCAGUGGCGAAGGCGGCUUACUGGACUGUAAAUGACGCUGAGGCUCGAAAGCGUGGGGAGCAAACAGGAUUAGAUACCCGUGUAGUC
rnacentral:rRNA from 1 species